ACACUCCUGCGGGAGGCAGCAGUGGGGAAUAUUGGACAAUGGGCGCAAGCCUGAUCCAGCCAUGCCGCGUGAGUGAUGAAGGCCCUAGGGUUGUAAAGCUCUUUCACCGGUGAAGAUAAUGACGGUAACCGGAGAAGAAGCCCCGACUAACUUCGUGCCAGCAGCCGCGGUAAUACGAAGGGGGCUAGCGUUGUUCGGAUUUACUGGGCGUAAAGCGCACGUAGGCGGACUAUUAAGUCAGGGGUGAAAUCCCGGGGCUCAACCCCGGAACUGCCUUUGAUACUGGUAGUCUUGAGUUCGAAAGAGGUGAGUGGAAUUCCGAGUGUAGAGGUGAAAUUCGUAGAUAUUCGGAGGAACACCAGUGGCGAAGGCGGCUCACUGGCUCGAUACUGACGCUGAGGUGCGAAAGCGUGGGGAGCAAACAGGAUUAGAUACCCCGGUAGUCCCAU
rnacentral:rRNA from 1 species